rnacentral:lncRNA from 1 species
AAUAGUUUAAGUGUUGGUAAUCAGGCGUCCACCUAGAGAAAAGGAAAGCAUCUCAGAUUAUAAUUCGAGUUCAGCAAUCAGGCGUCCAGCUAAAGAAAAGGGAAAGUGUCCCAGAUCACAACUUAAGUUGGCAACAAAGGGAUUUCACCAGGAGAAUACAAGUCAACAAGGCAACAAGAAUCACAAGAUCAAGUUUGAAGAUACAGAUAGGAUUUUUGUAAUGCAUAGAUCAUAGUUUAGUCUAGCUUCUUUUUCUUUUGUCAUGGUGUAAUAAGGAGUUCAGUAAGCAGUAGCAGCAACAACAGCAGCGGUGAAAUCACAGCUUCAUGGUAGUUCCAGCUACCAAAACUUCCCGAACUACACUAACUUGAUUCCUUUAUAGCCAAGGAUAUGUAGGCAACCUCGGAAGCACGGUGUGCUCAAAUCUUUCAAAAAUGCUUCCCACGGAGUAUUCAAAUGGGCAAAAAUCGCUCGUAUCUGCUCACUUUUUCUUUGCACGAAAACUCUUCGUCUUUUCGAGCAAGGAGGGCAGCUGUGAGCAUGUGAUUUUUGCCCAACAUGAAAUACUCCUAUAAAAUCAAAGAAAAUAAAGUUUUUCUUAAUUAUUCGCCAUUUUUAGGAAUUUUUGCAGAUUUUUAUUAAUUGUUUGCAUUUUUCCUGCACGUUUAAUUUUUAUUUUUAUCAUGAGAAAAUACCAAAAUAUCAUGCAUUGCAUUUAGGAUUUGUUUUUAUGUUUUUAUAAUUAACCAAUAAUAUUGUUUUAUAAAAAUUAAAAAUCACAAAAAUUGCUUCAUUUUUACACUUUUUACUUUUAUUGAUUUUUUCUCUUUUAAUUUAGGAUUAAGUAGCUUUUAUAAUUUUUAUAAUUAGCUAAUUAGUUUAAUUUCACACUUUUAAAUAAUUUAAGAUUUUUAAUUUUUAGGAUUUUAAUUAAAAGAAAAGGGAAAAAUUAGAAAAUAAAAGAAAGGAAAUUGGAAAAAGAGUUUAAUUUGAAUUUGGGCCAAAUCCUAUACCCAAAUCUGCCCAAUACCAGCCCAUUUCACUACCUGGCCCAAUUGUAGUUUUUCUUUCCCUUUUAUUUAAAUACCUAAGACCUAAUAACCUAGAGAGAGGGAAUAAGAUCAGAAGACCUCACCUCUCAUAUAUAAGAAGAGCACAACUUUCCUUUUUUCCCCUUCUUCUGACUCCUUCUUCAUCUCCGGCGCACCUGCUUCUCCAAUCCAUCUUCUCUUCACGCUUCCUCAAUCUCUGAUAACCCACACCUUCUGAAAUUAAUCAAAAAGAAAGGAAAAGUUCUAAAUCAAAAUUUUGGGUCUACGAUACUAAGAAUGUAACAAAAGAGAGGAUAAAAGGGGUUUCAUCUCUGCUUGAAGUUUGCUAUCUUCUUCUUUCAUAUUUCUGGGUUUCAAUAAUGUUUGCUUGAAGUUUUGCUGUUGUUCGCUGCUGAGACUGCUAACCUCCGCUUCUCUGGCCCUUUAUUUGGUUUUCUUUUAGCUGUUUUCCGCAACCAGUUAUUGAAUCAUGAAUUCAAGUCUCCGAUUUGUCAAAUUUUGGGUUCUGUUAGUUUGUAAAUAAGCGUGAUUUAUUAUUUUAACGUCUGUUUGAAUUGCUCCAUGACUUUGUUUGCUUAGCUUGAAUACGUGUUUGUUGCUGCGAUCAUAUUUAGUAGAUUUUGUCCCUAUAAUGAUGAAUUGAAUACGUGUUUAGCCUACAAUACAACAAAUGUUUAGUGAUUUGAUUUUCUAUUAUUAGUAGUGCAGAUAUUAAAAUUUAAAUUAGAUAUUGCUUACUGCUAAAUCUGCUCAUUCUUCCUAGUUAUAAAAUAACUCGUCAUUCAAUUCGUUUUUUUCUGAAGCAUUUGAUCAAUUUUUAAAAUUAGUAUUUCCUCACCAACUAUUUCUCAUAUCCAAUUGGAUUACUAACUAACCUAUGAGUUAUUAGAAACCAAUUUUUAAUUUCACCAAAAAGAAUGGUUAAAGUGCUCACUAAUGAAGUGGAAAGGAUAUGGUAGGCAAAAAUGAUAAAGAUAUCACUGUUUAUGGAGUGUGUCAAAUUUAAGAAAUAGGAUCUUACUUCAUUUCAGAUUGGUUUGAUCACAUAUUGAUGUUUCGAGUGAUAUGUUGGUGUAAAGACAUUUUGAAAUCAUGUUGAGGCCUUACAUUAGGCUCAUGGACGCUUUGCACCAGACUUAUGUUUUAGUAUUUGAUUGAUUUUUCUUAAGGCAUUAACAAGCAUUUCAUUUUCCAUUAAUUUAUG